CAACAGUCAUGGUCGAUCAUUACCAACUCAGCAAAAUUAAAUUGUUUAUCAUGUGCUAUUAGUAGCUAUUAGUAGCUUUAUGUUAUGUAGCUUUGGUAUCUCCACCGAGGCAUCAGCACCUGCGGUGCUUUCAUUGUAUCUAGAAUUUGUAGUACUAAGAACCCUUCAUCAUCUUUCUUUGUGUGUACAGAGUAUUGCUGGAUCACAGAUGCGUGUGAUUCUCAGGUGGUGGAGCAGUCAACCAAACGUACGUGUCACAAGAAACAGUCUGAUGUUGGGUUUCCACCAUGGCAGAGCCAGACACCACACUCGUUACAUCUGUCAGUCCUCUUGUUGGAGUCCUUCCAGCAGAACGCACACCAUCCCCGUUUACAUCUCUUUGCAGGUGGUUGCAGGCACAUUUUGAGAGGGAGCUGAAGAGGGCGCUGGACUCUACUUGAGCGGCCUGGGAGUCUCCUUGAAUAGUACGUACCAAUCAGCUCCUUGGCCAGUUGGAGGCGGAAGUCUUUUACGUUUUGAUUCGGCUUGGAGGUAUAAUUAGUGAGUGUGUAAAAUAUGAUAGAAACAUCAAAUAGGAAAUAAAAUAUAUACUUGUAGAACUUCCGAUUUCUUGUUUGACAGGAAUAAUAUCCGCGUAUAUGGUCCCCUCUGUCCACGCCUUCCAUGUGCUUGUUGUAGAUUAUUAUGCUAUCAGGGCAACUCACAGGCAUUCUUAAACCGUCUCUCUGACGCCUGAGAACGAAUCCUGUUGCUACUGGUUGCGACGUCGUUCAGAGGAUCGUGAGCACCUUGCUGUCGUGCCAUGCACAUGCCACCAGUGGUCCCUUCUGGAAUAUCUUGGAUUCUCCUCUGUCAAAGUACCUCUUCUUCACCCCAUGUUUCUUCAGUCCUGGUGGUAAACCUUUCCUAUCCCUCCGAACUACACCACACCCAUAAAUACCAUCUUUCUCCAUAUCUUCAAGAAGUUUGGGGCUCGUAAAAAAGUUGUCAAAGAAAACGUGGUGGUUUUUCUUCUUCAGCCCGUCGGGUUGUACAAAGCUUCGAACCUCUCACCCAGGUGCUCAAUGAGGGGGCGGAUCUUCCCUAACCGAUCGUACGAGGGAUCAUCUCGUGAAACAAGAUGAGGAUGGAGAAUCCGAAGAAGGCCCGGAGCUCUUCAACUACCAUUGUUAAAAAAUAGCAGAAACACUUCUUCUGGCCUCUCUGAGAUGUCCACUGUUGGUCCUACUGUUGACUCAAAUGACUUGAUAGUCAGGGUGUGCAAUUCACUCCUCCAGGUAGGUUGCUCAUUGCCUAAAUAAAUGUGAGGGUAAUAAUAAUUACCUGUACAAUAGUUUUGUGUGGUAGUCUAACUGAUUGUAAUUGUACUUCAUAACAUUGCACAAACCGUGUGACGAGUUGCUUGGACCACUUGUGUUGUCGUCACUUGUGUCGUCACUUGUGUCGUCUAGGAAAGGAUUUAUCAAUAGCUGGUACAAAUUGUUAACCUUAUAAUUAUUAUUGUUAAAAAUAAUUAACAAUAAUAGGGAAUUUCCCCUCACGUAGACAGUAAAUUUCAAAAUGAGCGUUCGGUGAGUUUCUUCAACGUCCGCGCUUGACCUGUUUAAAGCUUCGUAGAGACCCAAAUUUUUACAGGUAGGUAGAGGAAGGGUUGAAGUUAGCACCUGUGAAAAAAAAAUUUUUGCCCAUGUUUUUUAUUUCUACUAAAUUGGCCUAUAGCUUAAUUUAAUUAUUGCCGCGUUAAGGUCCCUUUUCAUUGGCACUGUCGCAAUUUAAUUUACCUUGUGCAGGAUUGCUGUCUGUUGACGGGGGCUCCAUUUCUACAUGUUCCUCAUCAUUCAAGAUGUCUUGUAGAACCUCCUCCGUGGUCCAGUGUGGCCUCUUGGCCAUGCCUGCAGCUCUAUAUUAUUAUUAAAAAAUGUUUGUUCAUGUUAUAAAUAUUUUGUGUUUUUUGGGUGGUAUAAAAACAACAGUAGUAUUCAAGUGUCUGUAUCAAAAAAAUUUCUGUAUGAUAUAAGCUUAUAUGGGUACCUAGCCUCAAUUCAAGGCCGCUUUAGAAGAGGGGACUUGAGUCUAGGCUAAUGGGUACCUUGAGGGUGGAUGGAAUUAGAAGGCGUCCUAGCUUCAGUCCAGUAGCAGCCCCACCCAGAUUCUUUAGCAGCCAAGAGAAGCAGGACUGCUGCAGCUGACACCUAUUGGUAGAGAUGUCAGACUGAAAGUAGUGAGUGGGAGUAUUUUCGUACAGUAAAAUCAAUGGUAAGAAACGGGACCAGAAAGUGAGUGAACAAGAAGGGCUUUCCACAGCAAGCCCUGGAAGAGUCUAGCAAACAACAGCUGUUCCCAGGGGUAAAAAAUAGUGUAGAAUUUAAUUUUUAGAACAGUUUUUUAUGAUUUUAGCAUUUGGAGUUUGUUUUGUGUGUGAUUUUUUCUCAAAGGUGAUCAUCAUUUUGGCAACCACAUAUUGUGCAAGGAAACUACUGGUGGUGGUCCUUCUGUGGAUGAUUUGAUUGGUUGUUGUGGUUGCGAAAUUUUGUUGCAUAGUCUGGUUUGGUGAUGUGUGAUUUGAUUAUAAUGAUUUGUCUGGUCAGAAGUGCAUUCACUCCUGGUCUGGUAUUAUGAUGAUAAUAAUGAUCUGAAUUAAUUGGUGGUCUUCGCUGUUGAAUUGAUUUGUUGUUGUGGGAAUUUCUCAUCUCUUCUCUGGACAGCACAAACAGCUAUGGGUGUAAU